rnacentral:rRNA from 1 species
UUUGAUCCUGGCUCAGAUUGAACGCUGGCGGCAGGCCUAACACAUGCAAGUCGAACGGCAGCACAGAAGAGCUUGCUCUUUGGGUGGCGAGUGGCGGACGGGUGAGUAAUGUCUGGGAAACUGCCCGAUGGAGGGGGAUAACUACUGGAAACGGUAGCUAAUACCGCAUAACGUCGCAAGACCAAAGUGGGGGACCUUCGGGCCUCACACCAUCGGAUGUGCCCAGAUGGGAUUAGCUAGUAGGUGGGGUAAUGGCUCACCUAGGCGACGAUCCCUAGCUGGUCUGAGAGGAUGACCAGCCACACUGGAACUGAGACACGGUCCAGACUCCUACGGGAGGCAGCAGUGGGGAAUAUUGCACAAUGGGCGCAAGCCUGAUGCAGCCAUGCCGCGUGUAUGAAGAAGGCCUUCGGGUUGUAAAGUACUUUCAGCGGGGAGGAAGGCGGUGAGGUUAAUAACCUCGCCGAUUGACGUUACCCGCAGAAGAAGCACCGGCUAACUCCGUGCCAGCAGCCGCGGUAAUACGGAGGGUGCAAGCGUUAAUCGGAAUUACUGGGCGUAAAGCGCACGCAGGCGGUCUGUUAAGUCAGAUGUGAAAUCCCCGGGCUUAACCUGGGAACUGCAUUUGAAACUGGCAGGCUUGAGUCUCGUAGAGGGGGGUAGAAUUUCCAGGUGUAGCGGUGAAAUGCGUAGAGAUCUGGAGGAAUACCGGUGGCGAAGGCGGCCCCUGGACGAAGACUGACGCUCAGGUGCGAAAGCGUGGGGAGCAAACAGGAUUAGAUACCCCUGGUAGUCCACGCCGUAAACGAUGUCGACUUGGAGGUUGUGCCCUUGAGGCGUAGCUUCCGGAGCUAACGCGUUAAGUCGACCGCCCGGGGAGUACGGCCGCAAGGUUAAAACUCAAAUGAAUUGACGGGGGCCCGCACAAGCGGUGGAGCAUGUGGUUUAAUUCGAUGCAACGCGAAGAACCUUACCUGGCCUUGACAUCCAGAGAACUUAGCAGAGAUGCUUUGGUGCCUUCGGGAACUCUGAGACAGGUGCUGCAUGGCUGUCGUCAGCUCGUGUUGUGAAAUGUUGGGUUAAGUCCCGCAACGAGCGCAACCCUUAUCCUUUGUUGCCAGCGGUUCGGCCGGGAACUCAAAGGAGACUGCCGGUGAUAAACCGGAGGAAGGUGGGGAUGACGUCAAGUCAUCAUGGCCCUUACGGCCAGGGCUACACACGUGCUACAAUGGCGCAUACAAAGAGAAGCGACCUCGCGAGAGCAAGCGGACCUCAUAAAGUGCGUCGUAGUCCGGAUUGGAGUCUGCAACUCGACUCCAUGAAGUCGGAAUCGCUAGUAAUCGUAGAUCAGAAUGCUACGGUGAAUACGUUCCCGGGCCUUGUACACACCGC